rnacentral:tRNA from 1 species
UGGGGCUGUGGCUCAGUGGUGGAGUGCCUGCCUCGCACCCAUGAGGCACUGAGUUCGAUCCUCAGCACCACAA